GGGGAUAUAGCUCAGGGUUAGAGCAUAUGCUUAGUGUGCGCAAGGUCCUGAGUUCAAUCCCUAAUACCUCCA
rnacentral:tRNA from 1 species